rnacentral:lncRNA from 1 species
GAAAAUCAACAGAAAGAACACAAGAAGAAGGAGAAAAACAAAGACAACAAGACGCCGAGCUUCUUUUUGGCUGGAUUUAAACUAACUAUCAUCGCCAGGUUCUUUUUCAUAUAUUUAGAUCAAAUACUUGUUAUCUGUAUGUUUAUUAUUAUGCUAAUUGACAAGUUGUAUACUAUGUGUUUGUGAAAAUUCCCAAAUGAACUUUUUGAGUUAUAGGAAGACUUGACAUUGAUACUAUGUGUUCCAUAUAAUUAAGACUUUCAAGUACGGAUGUUUAUCAUUGGUUUCAGUUUUGAGGGUAUAGACAUGCUAAACUGUUAUAAAAUUGCUAAAAUACGAUUAAUUGGUUAUCAAGAUAGUUAACGGUCCAGUUAUCGACAAGGUAGCAGAAUAAGGAUAUAGAUCUUGCGUAGGAAGAUGUAUAUUUUUUUUACUAUAUUUAUGGACAGGAAGAAUUAAGAUUGUGGGAUUAUAACAAUGUUUGGAACUAAAUUGAUAUGCAGUACUUGAUAUCUCAACAAUGGUUAGGGAUUUACUUUGGUCAAUUAAAUGGUAACCAUUAAAUUCAACAUAUGUCAUGUGUCACCACUCGAAGGAGGAACUUGGGGAAAAUGGAGAGGAGUCGGAUCCUUGACGACCCUAUAUUAAUGGUCAUCGGGGUGAUAGAAUUGAUAAAGUGACCUCGUUAACGGAACACAACUGAUCAUUAGAUUGAGGCUCAGCUGAUCUCACGGCAAGUCUCCCAAUAGAAAAUGCAGGUUGUGAUGGCUGUGGAAGUGUUUUAGUGUCAUUUUCCAGCAUAAACACUACUGAGGACAUGGUAGGUCUAUCUGCUGGAUCUUGUUGAACGCAGAGUAGUCCGAUAUGGAUGCAUUCUGUUAUCUCAGUUGUCACACAAGACUGCGAUAAGCAAGGGUCCAUUAGCUCUAAUCCAUGCCCUUCACGCCACAAUUUCCACGCCUAUAUUUUCAAGAUAGUUUUAGGAUGCUUUAUGCAAGUUGAGAUUGACAUAAGCAAAAAUAAAAAUGGAGAAGAAGUAUACUUACAAAAUUAAGGAGACUCUGACCAUAUUCAGAAACAUAGCUAUUGUUCUUCCUUCCACUUACUAUCUCAAGCAACAGAACACCGAAGCUGAACACAUCUGAUUUAGUAGAAAAAAGUCCCUCCAUAGCAUACUCAGGAGCCAUAUAUCCACUGUAAAAAUGGCAAAAGUAAAAAAUGGUUCUUAGCAUCAAUCUUACAGUACAAUGUUGUUUUAAAUAGUACCAACAGAUUUUUGCAUUUUUGCAUCAACUUACUAGGUUCCAACAACUCUAUUUGUAUUGGCUUCUCGUUGAUUUCCGUUAAACAUCUUUGCCAUUCCAAAGUCAGAUAUCUUGGGGUUCAUAUCUUUGUCCAGUAAAACAUUGCUAGCUUUUAGGUCCCUAUGAAUGAUUCUUAGUCGAGAAUCCUCGUGUAGAUACAGAAUGCCCUUUGCUAUUCCUUUAAUAAUGUGGAGACGUUGUCUCCAAUCCAGAAUCUUGUUUUCUCUUGAUUCUAGAAAAAGGAAGUAUGAAGUUAGUAAAUUAAUUGCCUCUUUGUGGUAUAUACUAAUAUGCCAAAUUAGUCGAGGACAAACCAAAAAGGAAGAAGUCCAGGCUUUUGUUGGGCAUGAACUCAUAGAUAAGCAGUGCUUCGAUUCCCUCUAAACAGCAACCCAAGAGCCUCACGAGAUUUCUGUGUUGUAAUCUGGCAAUUAAGACAACUUCAUUCUUGAACUCUUUCAGUCCCUGACCGGACGUUCUGGACAGCCUUUUGAUUGCAAUUGUUAUGCCAUAUGGUAGUGUACCCUGUAAUGUUAUACACAACAUUAAAUAACCCAAAAUUUCACGGAAAAACUGACCCCCUCUAGCAACUAGAUUCACUAGACUAAGACUUGAGGACUACCUAGGUCAUUAUAAAUGAUAGGAAUUAUUACCUUGUACACAGGACCAAAUCCACCUUCUCCAAGCUUGUUUUCUUCAGAAAAAUUUUGUGUAGCCGCUCGAAUGAGGUCUAGUUUUACAACUGGAAACUCUCUGGAUCUCCCCUUCUUUUCUGAGCCAAAAUCAUCAUUCUCAUCAAAUGUUUCUCCUAUUAUGUCAAGCAAUUGAAGUUCUUGACUCUUUUCAUUCCUCUCUGUAAAGAUUCAACUUUUGAUUGGUUAGCUGAAACUAUAACUAUUUUCUUUUCAAUCCAAAAUGCCAAAGGAAAAUUUACCUUUCUCUAUUCGUCUUCUUCUUUUUAGAAGGUAAAAGCAAGUUCCUGCCAGUACAACAGCUAAAAUUGCUAGUGUAACACCUAUAAUGAUACUAAUAAGCUUCGUCUUUGAAGUAUUUUUGCCUGAAAAAAAGUAGUUGAUCAAUUAAAAGCUGAAUUCAACUGUUACUUCGUGAUGUGUGAAAGUAUGCAUGACUAUCUUAACUAUAAGUUGGAGAAAUUAUAUUUGAUACAUGCACACUAAUCAUUCAGCCAUAACUCUAUUAGUAGAUGAUUUUCUUUGAGGGUGUGCGCCAAAACCUUAAACGACAAACAUUUGAUAUGGACCAUGCAGUAUAUGAUUAUGAUUAAAAAGCUUUUAAUAUACAUUUGAAGUGAUUAGUUUAAUGUGAGAAACAGUACCUCCAUAUAGAUUUCUGGGAAAUUUGGCUUCAGAGUAAAAUUAAAGCAUGUAAUUAACUUAUAGAAGAUCCCAUACCUUGGUCUUCGUUUCCCUGGAUGGUCAAUGGCGGUAAACUGGUGAGGAGUUGAUAUAGCUCGUACCUUAAAUUGCAGCUUGCAUGAAGAACUCUAACUCCUGUUGGUAUUUUGGUGUCAAAGAGUGUUAUACUCAUUUGAGAAAAAGCAGUUUUCAGGCAAGUGACACAAUCUACAGCUGACAAAUCCGGUAGACACUGCACCAUGCCAUACAAUCUUUGAAAAUCGUUAAUUUCAUCAGAAUUGUCAGCAUAUUUCAGAUUGAGAUUGACGGUAAUAGCUUGAGUGAUAACAUUAUCAAACAUUGCACUCAAAUUACCCAUAAAUUGUUCUGGCCGUGAAACAUUUUGUGUGUUAUACAGGAUCCUAGAAACCGAGGUGUCUAACAUGGACGCGAAAGAUACAUUAGAAUAACGGACCAAACACUCAUCAAACCAUAUAAUUGCCUGUUUCUUGAGCGGACAUUCACGUUGAAUCCGCUCUCUUGCCACGUCUAUGCAGUUUUUGCAGUCUUUAGGUACAACGUCUCCUCUACAGAGGAAUAGUCCAUAAACUUUGUCAGGGUCUUCUCCUUCACUGGCUUUUGUAUAGAUGAAAUCGCUACCAUUAUUGUACAGUGAUCUGUACAGCAAUCGGUUAAGAUUUGAUUGGAAUUUGCUUCUUUCUGAAUAAUUAUUGGGCAUUGAACAAUCGUAGUAUAAGGGAUUCACCUGCAUCUGUGCUUUGACACCCACAAGCAGUAGUGAAUGGAACAACAAAAUCAGAAUUAAUGUUUGGGUACUGCACAAACACAAAACCAAAACCGACGCCAUUCUUGACUAUAGUAACUUGCUGUUGAAUUAUGUCUAAAGUAAUAGGAGAAGAAGAUGAAUCUGCUCGAAACUACAAGUUUGAUUUUUCAUGAAAAUAAUUUUCCCAUAACAGUUUCCUUCACUCCUUCCUACCAAUAGUCAUUUGACUUUGACAAUGACAAAUUAAUUACAAGGAAUAAUUGGUCUAACAAGUCUAGACUGAAAGUAACAGCAUUGGGGAAGAAGUAAUUUUAAGUACGUUAAAUGUAAAUCAAUAACUUGUAGAAUUUGUACUUUAUUUCUUCCUCAAAUAUAUGCUUUUAUAUAAAAUAUUUUUUACCUUUAAUGUGGGUACGGUUCCAAUUAAGAAAUAGAAUAAUCUUUUUAAAAAAAAUUUUACGUGGGUACGGGUUACCUCUUUGUUGCCUUUGUUCAUAUCCUAAUGAUGAUUCACCUUUUCUCUAUAUCUACUUUUGUCAGUAGCUCUUUUACUAUUUUUAGAGUUCGUUAAUGAUUUUUAACUCAAAAAAUAAAAAGUAAGAAAGAGAUUUACUUUUGAUUUUUCAUUUUUUGUAAAGUUAUUUUUAAUUUGAGAAAAGACAUAAAGUUAUUAUUGAAGUUGUUUCGAAUUUUCAAAAAGACACUUAAACUUUGCGGGGUCCUAUUACCCAAUUAUUCUUAUUUAUAAUGAAUUUAUUAUCCCAUUAUGAGCCUAGGUGGCAGGAGAGUAUGGUUUAAUCUCCAUUUGAGGCGUGAGUCAAGCCAAAAAAUAAAUAAAUAUUUAUUUUAACAUUUAUUUAAUUAGAAAUAUUAUUUUCUUUUAGUUACUUCUAUUUUUUUAAUUUUAACUUUCUCAAUUCAUUCUUUUCUAUUAACUUCUUCACCCAAAUUCAACAACCCAAUAACCUUUUAUUUAUCUUCUUCAACUUAGAAGAUCCAUUUACUUCAUCCAUUUUUAUCACUUUUUUUUCUUAUCUCUUGCUUUUCUUUGUUUCUUUAACUUCAUUUAUCCUCUUUUUUUAUAAAAAUAAAAUAAAUGUGAACUCCAUUAUUCGAUUGAUUAGAGAGUAUUAUGAAACUCCAUUUUUUUUUAUAUUUUUGGAUUGAAUAUAUAAUUCCAUUACCUUGCUUUAGUGAUGAUUUAAUGGUGAAAAUAGUGCUAUAACAGCGAAGAAUCAUGGAGUACGUCGAAGGCGACAAUGGCUGCUACUUUAGAGGAAUGAAGGUUGAAGAAGAAAGAGGAUUAAAAUCGAAAAAGAAAAAUGGAGAUUUUUAAGUUGCUACUUUAGGUUCAUUUUCAAUUGAAAAUGAAAGAGGAUUUAAAAUUUUCACGCUUCCUCUCUUCAUUUGGGGUGUGUAGAGGAAUGAACGUUGAAGAAGAAAAAUUGAAAAUGAAAAUGAAACUAAAAAAUAAGAAUUUUAAAAAAUUAAUACGUGGCAAACAACAAUUGAUGUGUGAUUACACUUCUUUUCUUGCAAUUGAGGUUGGGUGAAAAGUGAGAUAUUUAUAACACUCUUAAAUUGUUUAAUGGUGUAAUAGGACAUCCACAAAAUUAAGAUAUUUUUUUAAAAUUAGAGAUAACUUUAGUGGUGACUUUAUGUCUUUUUUCUUUUAAUUUAUUUGAAGUUACUUUUAACUUUGUCAACUCUUUCAAAAGCUCAAAAUGAUAUAAAAAAGUUGUUUGAUCAAUUUUAAGUCAAUCCAAACAUGUUCUUGAAUCUCUUAUUUAUUAAUAUUCUGCAGUCUAACCAAACAUCCAGUAGUGUCCAGAAUUAUUCGUAAAUGAUUUCAUAAAAUUCAAGAAAUUUUCUAAUUAAAAAGAAGAAAAAUAAUAAUAAGAAAACUUAUAGGGAAAAUCACAGCAAGUAGGAGCUUUGUCCCAAAAAUUGCAAUGAACCCCUCCAUAUUUUUACCAUGAACAUUGAUUUUCUGAGAAUCAACAAAAAGAUCACAAGAAGAAGGAAAAAAACAAAGACAACCAGACACGGAGUUUUUUUUGCUGGAUUUGAACUAACUAUCAUCGCCAGGUUCUUUUUCAUCUAUUUUCGAUUAGAUAGAGAUCAAAUACUUGUUAUCUUUUUGUUUGACAUUGUGAAAAAUUGUAUACUAUGUAUUUGUGAAAAUUCCCAAAUGAUACUAGGUGUUCCAUUAAGUUCUUUCAAGUAGUGUUCGUUAUCCGUCGAUUUGGUUUUGAGGGUAUAAACAUGCUAAACUGCAAUAAAAUUGCUAAAAUACGAUUAAUUGGUUAUGGAUUAUUGAUCGUUAACAGUAUUGUUAUUGAUAUAACCCUUAAUUAUUCACUAACAUGGGUAUGGUCGUAUGGAAAAUAAAGUAGGCAUAAUAAGAACUCAAAUGAACCAUGAUAAAUGAACCAUGAUAAUAAGGGUAUAGACCUUGCGUAGGAAUAUUGUUUUUUUUUUUAAAACUAUAUUUAUGAGCAAGAUAAUAUAUUGCUAAGAUUGUGGGAUUAUAUCAAUUUUUGAGACUAAAUUGAUAUAAUAUAUUUAUUAUCUAAACCAUGGUUAGGGAUUUAUUUUGGUCAAUUAAAUCGUAGUCAUUAAUUCAACAUAUGUCAUGUGCACCAAUCGAAGUAGAAACUUGGGGAAAAUGGAGAGGAGACAGAUCCUUGAUGGACCCUAUAUUAAUGGUCAUCGGGGUGAUAGAAUUGAUAAAGUGACCUCGUUAACGGAACAUAACUGAUCAUUAGAUCGAGGCUCAGCUGAUCUCACGGCAAGUCUCCCAAUAGAAAAUGCAGGUUGUGAUGGUUGUGGAAAUGUUUUAGUGUCGUUUUCCAGCAUAAAAACCACAGAGGACAUGGUAGGUCUAUCUGCUGGAUCUUGUUGAACGCAGAGUAGUCCGAUAUGGAUGCAUUUUGUUAUCUCAGUUGUCACACAAGACUGUGAUAAGCAAGGGUCCAUUAGCUCUAAUCCAUGCUCUUCACACCACAACUUCCACGCCUGAAUUUUCAAGAUAGUUUUAGGAUGCUUCAUGCAAGUUGAAAUUGACAUAAGCAAAAAUAAAAAUGGAGAAGAAGUAUACUUACAAAAUUAAGGAGACUCUGACCAUAUUCGGAAACAUAGCUAUUGUUCUUCCUUCCACUUACUAUCUCAAGCAACAGAACACCAAAGCUGAAAACAUCUGAUUUAGUAGAAAAAAGUCCCUCCAUAGCAUACUCAGGGGCCAUAUAUCCACUGUAAAAAUGGCAGAAGUAAAAAAUGGUCCUUAGCAUCAAUCUUACACUAUAAUGUUGUUUUAAAUAGUACCAACAGAUUUUUGCAUUGUUGCAUCAUCUUACUAGGUUCCAAUAACUCUAUUUGUAUUGGCUUCUCGUUGAUUUCCGCUAAACAUCUUUGCCAUUCCAAAGUCAGAUAUCUUGGGGUUCAUAUCUUUGUCCAGUAAAAUAUUGCUAGCUUUUAGGUCCCUAUGAAUGAUUCUUAGUCGAGAAUCCUCGUGUAGAUACAAAAUACCCUUUGCUAUUCCUUUAAUAAUGUGGACACGUUGUCUCCAUUCCAGAAUUUCAUUUUCUCUUGAAUCUAGAAAAAGAAAGUUUGAAGUUAGUGAAUUAAUUGCUUCUUUGUGGCAUAUACUAAUAUGCCAAAUAAGUGAACGUCAAACCAAAAAGGAAGAAGUCCAGGAUUUUGUUGGGCAUGAACUCAUAGAUAAGCAGUGCCUCAUUUCCCUCUAAACAGCAACCCAAGAGCCUCACGAGAUUUCUGUGUUGUAAUCUGGCAAUUAAGACAACUUCAUUCUUGAACUCUUUCAGUCCCUGACCGGACGUUCUAGAGAGCCUCUUGAUUGCAAUUGCUAUGCCAUUGGCUAGAGUACCCUGGAAUGUUAUACACAACACUAAAUAACCCAAAAAUCAUGAAAAAUUGACCCCCUCUAGCAACUUAGAUUCACUAGUCUCUAGACUAAGAUUUAAGGACUUCCUAGGUAAUUGGUUAUGACAAAUGAUAGGAAUCGUUACCUUGUACACUGGACCAAAUCCACCUUCUCCAAGCUUGUUUUCUUCAGAAAAUUUUUGUGUAGCAGCUCGAAUGAGGUCUAGUUUUACUACUGGAAAUUCUCUGGAUCUCCCCUGCUUUUCUGAGCCAAAAUCAUCAUUCGCAUCAAGCGUUUCUCCUAUCAUGUCAAGCAAUUGAAUUUCUCGACUCUUUUCAUUCCUCCCUGUAAAGAUCCAACUUUUGAUUGGUUAGCUGAAACUACAAUUAUUUUCUUUUCAAUGCAUAAUACCAAAAGAAAAAUUACCCUUCUCUAUUCGUCUUCUUCUUUUUACAAGGUAAAAGCAAGUACCUGCCAGUACAACAGCUAAAAUUGCUAGUAUAACACCUAUAAUGAUACUUAUAAGCUUUGUCUUUGAAGUAUUUUUGCCUGCAAAAAAAAAUAGUUGGUCAAUUAAAAGCUGAAUUAGACCGUUACUUCGUGAAGUGUUUAAGUGUGCGUGACUAUCUUCUCUACAAGUUGGAGAAAUGAUAAUUGAUACAUGCACAAUGAUCAUUCAGCCAUAACUCCUAUUAGUAAAUGAUUUUCUUUGAGGGUGUGCAUCAAAAUUUAAACGACAUUCGAUAUUGACCAUGACACCAUGUAGUAUAUGAUUAUGAUUAAAAGCUUUUAAUGUGAAAAAUAGUGAGAAAAGGUGCCUUCAAAUAGAUUUCCUGGGAAAUUUGGCUUUUAAUGUAAUGAACUCAUACCUUCGUCUUCAUUCCCCUGUCUGGUCGAUGGCGGUACACUGGCAUAGAGGAAUGGAUAUAGCUCAUACCUUAAAUUGCAGCUAGGAAGUAGUAUUCUGACUCCACGUGGUACCUUGGCAAUAGACAGAGAGAGGUUACGGAUUCCAGAAAAAGCAGUUUUCAGGCAAGUGACACAAUUUACAGCUGACAAAUCAGGUAGACACUGCACUGAUGCAUGCAAUUUGCCAUCAAACGAGUUAAUUACAUCAGAAUUGUCAGCAUAUUUCAGAUUGAGAUUGAUUGUAGUAGCUUGAGCGGUAAGAUUAUCAAACAUUGCACUCAAAUUCCCCAUAAAUUGUUCUGGCUGUGAAACAUUUUCUACGCUAUACAGGAUCUUAGAAAUCGAGGUGUCUAACAUGGACACGAAAGAUACAUUAGAAUAGCGGACCAAUCACUCAUCAAACCAUAUAAUUGCCUGCUUCUUGAGCGGACAUUCACGUUGGAUCCGCUCUCUUGCCACGUCAAUGCAGUUUUUGCAGUCAUUAGGUACAACGUCUCCUCUACAGAGGAAUACUCCAUAAACUUUAUCAGGGUCUUCUCCUUCUCUGGCUUUUGUAUAGAUGGAAUUGUUACCAUUAUUGUUUAAUGGACUGUACAGCAAUUGGUUAAGAUUUGAUUGGAAUAUGCUUCCUUCUGUAUAAUUAUUGAUCAUUGAACAAGUGUAGUAUGAGGGCUGCAUCUGUGCUUUGACGCCCACAAGCAGUGAAUGGAGCAACAAAAUCAGAAUUGUUUGGAUACUGCACAAACACAAAACUAUAACCAAC